AUUGAACGCUGGCGGCAGGCCUAACACAUGCAAGUCGAGCGAGCUGCGGACGGUUGAGUAAUGUAUGGGGACUGCCCGAUAGCGGGGGAUCACUACUGGAAACGGUUGCUAAUACCGCAUACUGUCGGAUAACCCAUAUGGGAUUAGCUAGUAGGUAAGGUAAUGGCUUACCUAGUCGACGAUCCCUAGCUGAUGUGAGAGGCUGAUCAGGCACACUGGGACUGAGAGCAGGACCAGACUCACAUGGAGGGAGCGGUGGGUGAUAUUGACCAAUGGGGGAAAGCCUGAUGCAGCCACUACGCGUGUGUGAUGAAGGCACUAGGGUUGUAAAGUACGUUCAGUAGGGAGGCGUUACCGACAGAAGGAGACGCGACUAACUCCGUGCCAGCGGCCGCGGUAAUAC
rnacentral:rRNA from 1 species